rnacentral:rRNA from 1 species
UGUAAGCGUAUACCAAAGUUGUUGCAGUUAAAACGCUCGUAGUCGGAAUUUGGCAGUUCCGGAAGUGUGCACGUCGUGUGCGCACUUUGCGGGGACUGCUUUUGUGGUCUUGCGUAGGAUGAGGCACUUUCAUUAGUGAACGUCCUCACGCAACCACUCUUUACUGUGAGAAAAUCAGAGUGUUCAAAGCAGGCAUUUGCCGUGAAUGUAUUAGCAUGGAAUAAUAGAAUAGGACUCGGUUCUAUUUUGUUGGUUUGUUGGGACUGAGUAAUGAUUAAGAGGGACAGUUGGGGGCAUUUGUAUUCCGGCGCUAGAGGUGAAAUUCUUAGAUUGCCGGAAGACAAACUGCUGCGAAAGCGUCUGCCAAGGAUGUUUUCAUUGA